UCAUUUUUAAGGUGUAGGAGUUUGGUUGAGUUGUUUAGAGUUCUUUAGGAACUCUGUUGAGUUAUAUAUAUGAAUUGUUAUACAUUUUGAUGAGCUAUGUGUAAAUUAUAAAAUGAUAAAAUACUCUGUUUAUAUGUUUUGGGCAUGUUGGUGAAUUUUUGAGCCAAUGAGUAGUAAUACACCUUUACCCAGUCGUUGGUAAUUUUUGAGCUAUAAUAUAAUUAUUAAAUUUAAUUAUAUGAAUAUUUUUUAGUUGAG
rnacentral:lncRNA from 1 species